GCACUCCUAAUGGCUGGGUCAAAAGACUUAUUAGUUGAGUACCUUAUCCCCUUUCCUAUUCUAGCUGGAACACUCUAAAUAAGAAAUAAAUCUAUGAUGAUUCCUUUUCUUUAUUGAUUAGCCAGUGUCCCGUGGUAGAGUUAUACAAGCUGCUUUUAAGACAUGCAAACUCGUACUUGACCUACACCUUACUUGGACACAGUGUCGACGGAACCAUCUCGAACUGCCCAGUUCGGGGCGUCUCGAGGAUAGUUCUGGCAACGAAAACGAGACUGACGCCAGAGGGAGAGAAGAAGGAAAAAGACGAAAAAAG
rnacentral:lncRNA from 1 species